CCCUGGUAGCUCAGAUGGUAAAGCAUUUGCCUGCAAUGCAGGAGACCCAGGUUCAAUUCCUGGAUCAGGAA
rnacentral:tRNA from 1 species